UUGCUUUAGGAGCACAUAUACUAAAAUUGGAACAAUACAGAAAUUAGUGUGGUCUCUGCAGAAGGAUGACAUGCAAAUUCAAGAAGCAUUCCAUAUUUUU
ensembl:snRNA U6 U6 spliceosomal RNA